rnacentral:tRNA from 1 species
GGUGGCUCAGUGGUAUAGCACUUGCCUUGCAUGCAUGAGGUCCUGGGUUCAAUUCCUCAGCACCA